CGGUCGAGUAGAAGCGGUCAGUGCCGGUGGACGGCAUGGGGCAUUGCUCUUGCG
rnacentral:ncRNA from 2 species